CGCCAGGAGCUAUGGAUGGUCGGCGUGUGAACUCCGCCAGGCCCGAAAGGGAGCAACGGUAGCGUGUCCGACCUUGCCGUAGUUUCCUGGCACUU
rnacentral:SRP_RNA from 2 species